UGAGGGCGCCGGGCAGCCGUCC
rnacentral:misc_RNA from 1 species